AACGAACGCUGGCGGCAGGCUUAACACAUGCAAGUCGAACGCAUCGCAAGAUGAGUGGCAGACGGGUGAGUAACGCGUGGGAACAUACCCUUUUCUACGGAAUAGCUCUGGGAAACUGGAAUUAAUACCGUAUACGCCCUACGGGGGAAAGAUUUAUCGGGGAAGGAUUGGCCCGCGUUGGAUUAGCUAGUUAGUGGGGUAAAGGCCUACCAAGGCGACGAUCCAUAGCUGGUCUGAGAGGGUGAUCAGCCACAUUGGGACUGAGACACGGCCCAAACUCCUACGGGAGGCAGCAGUGGGGAAUAUUGGACAAUGGGCGCAAGCCUGAUCCAGCCAUGCCGCGUGAGUGAUGAAGGCCUUAGGGUUGUAAAGCUCUUUCACCGAUGAAGAUAAUGACGGUAGUCGGAGAAGAAGCCCCGGCUAACUUCGUGCCAGCCGCCGCAGUAAAAC
rnacentral:rRNA from 1 species